GCGGACGUGGUGGAAUUGGUAGACACGCUAGAUUUAGGUUCUAGUGAAAAUUUUUCGUGAGAGUUCGAGUCUCUCUGUCCGCA
rnacentral:tRNA from 1 species